GACGAACGCUGGCGGCGUGCUUAACACAUGCGAGUCGAACGGAAAGGCCCUGCUUUUGUGGGGUGCUCGAGUGGCGAACGGGUGAGUAACACGUGAGUAACCUGCCCUUGACUUUGGGAUAACUUCAGGAAACUGGGGCUAAUACCGGAUAGGAGCUCCUGCUGCAUGGUGGGGGUUGGAAAGUUUCGGCGGUUGGGGAUGGACUCGCGGCUUAUCAGCUUGUUGGUGGGGUAGUGGCUUACCAAGGCUUUGACGGGUAGCCGGCCUGAGAGGGUGACCGGCCAAAGUGGGACUGAGAUACGGCCCAGACUCCUACGGGAGGCAGCAGUGGGGAAUAUUGCACAAUGGGCGGAAGCCUGAUGCAGCAACGCCGCGUGCGGGAUGACGGCCUUCGGGUUGUAAACCGCUUUCGCCUGUGACGAAGCGUGAGUGACGGUAAUGGGUAAAGAAGCACCGGCUAACUACGUG
rnacentral:rRNA from 1 species